rnacentral:rRNA from 1 species
GUGGGGAAUUUUGGACAAUGGGCGAAAGCCUGAUCCAGCCAUGCCGCGUGCAGGAUGAAGGCCUUCGGGUUGUAAACUGCUUUUGUACGGAACGAAAAGACUCCUUCUAAUAAAGGGGGUCCAUGACGGUACCGUAAGAAUAAGCACCGGCUAACUACGUGCCAGCAGCCGCGGUAAUACGUAGGGUGCAAGCGUUAAUCGGAAUUACUGGGCGUAAAGCGUGCGCAGGCGGUUAUAUAAGACAGAUGUGAAAUCCCCGGGCUCAACCUGGGAACUGCAUUUGUGACUGUAGUGCUGGAGUACGGCAGAGGGGGAUGGAAUUCCGCGUGUAGCAGUGAAAUGCGUAGAUAUGCGGAGGAACACCGAUGGCGAAGGCAGUCCCCUGGGCCUGUACUGACGCUCAUGCACGAAAGCGUGGGGAGCAAACAGGAUUAGAAACCCCGGUAGUCC